UAGAAACACAUGCAUUUCGCUACACCAGCAAUAACAUCUGCUAAACACGUGUAUGUGACCAAUAAAAUUAGAUUCUGAGGUUCGCAGUGUGGUUAGGUUAAAAGAAAUUGUAGAAAUGGGCAGGGUUUAUGACUUUGUGGCUGUGUUAACUAGUGACAACGUAUAACUAAAUUGACCCGAGUUACUGCCCUGAUGACACAGACGGCUUCAUCAACAACGUGCUAUGUGGAAAGUUUUAUUCAAACAUACCGUUUGAUAAACUAGUAGGUUAAUUACCCAGCCAAGCAGAUACAAAUAGUGCAGUCAUUUUGGUUAAMUGCAUUAUCAAAAAGCGUUGUCCUUUAUAACAAAAUGUAAUUUACCACUUGGCUGUCUAUUGUAUCACCCUGUCACAGGCCCUCCCAGUCAACACCACCUCAUAAGAUAAAGGACAUUGUUUAUGAGGAUUGCCUGCUGCAGUUGUUUGAGAGAUUCCCAGAUUUGCAGCAGAACAUGCAACAUAGAGAAGACCAGCAAGGGGACCCUCAGCAUCACGCUGACAUGCCCUCGCUGUGAGCAUUCCUAUAAAUUGAACAGGGCGGACACUUGAAUCAGUAUCUUUGAGGGGUCAGGAGCUCAUCAAUGCUGCGACGCCCAUCAAUGGGACACUGGCAUAGACCUUACUUCUUGCCUCCUCGCCAAUGGUCGUCGAUGGGGCGACAAGAAUUAGAAACAUGUAUGGAGCCAGCACAUGGAGACUUGCAAGAUGACGUGAUGAAGACUGGCUGAUGUCUCUAAAUGGACCUGGCACUCUGCAUAAUUUUUUUUUUUACUAGACAACUUUUACUUGUAUUGUCUUUUUUUAUUAUUGGGUUGACUGGUGUCAGUCAGUAUGGGGAGGGAGAAACCCUAUGUAUUCUGCACCAGGAUCAAGGAACUCCUGUUGUAUACGGGACACCACACAGGAAGGUACUCUGACAUGUUUUGCCAAGGUAGUCCCAUUACCACAUGACAAAAUGUGCCGAUAGGCACAAUAUCUGUAUCGGCUGGGAAUGACAAUGAAAGGUGUAUUUUGUUAUACUGUAUUUGCACAACACGGCUUAUAUUGUAUUAUGUAAAGGGUUGUUUAUUCUACAUGGAUCUGUAACUUUGUUUAGAAUAUCUACAUAAAUUCAACAYUUGCAUUCUU